AUCAAUAUCAAAUCCUUCUCCUUUUUGUCCAUCAAGCUCGACGACUGUUGGUUCAUCUUUGCUUCCACGAAGCCCUGGAAAAGUUGAGAAUCCUCUGAGUCUUGGUUCAAGGUGAAAGAAAGGACAAUUAGCAGAUGUCUCUAAAUCGGCAGAUCUCUUUCUCUCGCUCCGCUCUCCCUCUCUAGGAAAACUCAUAGGAUACAAAGAAAUUACAUUUUCUGGUUCAUGGGUUUCGGAGUAUCCUUUAAUCAUGGUGUAUAUGAAGACAUCGGGCGAUUCUAUAAGAUCGAAGACAGUACGAGCAUAUGGAAGAUUGUUUGAAACUACACCAAAGCCCACAAUUCUGCUGGCGGAAAAUGGGCCUUGAAUCAGGCCAGUGGUGAUAGCUCUACGAAAACUCCCCAUUAGCUCUCUCACCUAAACUAGUCGCCAAACUCCCCUCUCUCUCCCCCCUACGAAAACUCCCCCUAUCUCUGUAAAUCAGUAGCAGUAGCUCUCUCUCUAAAUCAGUAGAUCUCUCUCAGGGUUUGAGAGAUGAAAAAGCUCCCAUGAGAACCCCAACGUGGCAAUCGCAGAGGUGCUGCUCCAAGCAGCCCUAUCUCUCUCAGGCACUUGAGGUUAUUCUUUCAGUUUGACUUGGGUUAGCGGUGGAGAAGAAACAGAGGCAGAGCUGUUGUAUCGUUUAUCAUCACUUGGUACACUAAAGAGAGUGGCUUCGGAAUGGAUGAGGGAAGAAGAUAUUAUAUUCAGCACGAAGAUGUGUCGAUUUUUCUUCAAGAAGAUAUUACAUGUUGCUGGUGUUCGAAUAUAAUACUCGAACUCAUUGUUUUACCAUGUUCAGUGCUAACUCUUUUAGAUAAUCUUAGUGAUCUUUUUGGGGUUGCCUAAUGAUGUAAGGGCAUUCCUUUUGGAAUUUGGUCGAAGAAAGUGGCCCAAUUUAGCAAGAGGGAGGUCAAGUGUUGGCAAAUUUGUCAUCUUCUUGUUCAAUGUAUUUUUUAUGCAUGUAAUAUGUACAUUAUUUAAGAAUGGCCUCUAUGGAUGUUAAGGAAAAGAAUCUUGGUGGCUUAUAGUUUGAUUGGUGCGGCAUUCCUUUUGAA